rnacentral:rRNA from 1 species
CAGCCGCCGCGGGAAUACGUAGGUGGCAAGCGUUGUCCGGAAUUAUUGGGCGUAAAGCGCGCGCAGGCGGAUAGGUCAGUCUGUCUUAAAAGUUCGGGGCUUAACCCCGUGAUGGGAUGGAAACUGCCAAUCUAGAGUAUCGGAGAGGAAAGUGGAAUUCCUAGUGUAGCGGUGAAAUGCGUAGAUAUUAGGAAGAACACCGGUGGCGAAGGCGGCGAUCUGGUCCAUAACUGACGCUGAGGCGCGAAAGCGUGGGGAGCAAACAGGAUUAGAUACCCCCGUAGUCCCUGUCUCUUAUACA